rnacentral:rRNA from 1 species
UACGAAGGGGGCGAGCGUUAUUCGGAAUCACUGGGCGUAAAGCGUGCGUAGGCUGUUCAGAAAGUCAGGAGUGAAAGCCCAAGGCUCAACCUUGGAAGUGCUCUUGAAACUUCUGGACUAGAAUUCAGGAGAGGAUAGCGGAAUUCCCAGUGUAGCAGUGAAAUGCGUAGAUAUUGGGAGGAACACCAGUGGCGCAAGCGGCUAUCUGGACUAACAUUGACGCUGAGGCACGAAAGCGUGGGGAUCAAACAGG